CACCCACAUUCGGUUCCAGGAUAAACUUGGUCUUAUCCCUUCUGAGUAUGUGAGCGUUUUACCAGCAAGUUUAUCUGUGUACUACAUGCAUAUAGUGCCUGAGGGUGUCAGAAGAUGCUGUUAAAUCUCCUGGAACUGAAAUCACAGCUAGUUGUUAGCUGUCACGUGGCUGCAAGGAACUAAAACUGGGUCCUCUGGAAAAGCAACUGGUGCUCUUAUUUGCAGAGUCAUUUUUCCAGCUCUGUCCAUCAUUUCCCUUUCCUCCAUGAGAUAAUAUACACAACUUGCCUACUGAAUACUAAAUACGUGCAUUGUAUAUGGCAAGAAGAGUUUGGAAACCCAGCAGGAAGGAAGAUGCUUUUGUACACAGAAAGGAAAAGCCUAACGUGACUUCAAUUAUCUUUCUUAUUAAUAGCAGAAACCCAAUGGUAUAAAAUAUAGCUGCAAAGAGAAUUGAUGGAAAACUGGCUCAAAUUUUCAUAUUGACAAUUACAACAGAAUAUAUUUAAAACAUAAAGGACUUGACCAAUUAAUGUUUAUCAAGUAAUUUCUAAGAGCAUACAUCUCUCCAAGGAUGUGAAGAGUUUUAUUUCUAUACUGUGGUAUAUUCCAGAAGAAAAAGAAGAAGUAACACUAGUAGAUGUGUUCAAUAGGAUUGGGUCCUCUUGCCUGGUAAUUAGAUUAUGUCCACAGCCUUUCUGACUUGAGACCAGGCCAUGCCAUCCAUGUUCAUGGAAGCUCAGCACCUGACUGCUUGAGGCAGAGUGCUUUGGUUUGAAGCCCAGGUCUGUUACUCACUGAACCUAUGACUUGGGACUAAUUACACACUGACUUCUUGGCUUCAAUGUCACCAUUUGUGAAGCAAAUUAUACUAGAACCUGCUCGAUAAAAAUGAGAAAAUAAUUGAGGCAUACCUUAAAGCGCCACGUAGAAGAAGAAAGAACUAUACAACUUCACUAAUAUUGUUUGAUUAAGUACACUUUGUUCUUUUUUUAAAAAAAUGGCAAAUACACAGAUAGGGAAUUAAAUGGUCCUUGGUGGGAAAGCAGCUAAAUUUCUGUCUCCAGAGUUGAGUCUUGUCAUACUCUUUGUAUUUCAUACCUAAGAGUUCUUUCCUACAAAUGAACUACACAAAGGACCUUGGAGUUAAAUUGAACUAUUAGGGAACCUGAUUUAAAAACAGAUGCCAUUUUCCUCACAGUAGGAAGGGGAAAGCCUUAUGAUUCACCAGUGAUAGCAAAAUUAAAACAAACAACUAACAUGGUUCUGGUCUGGGAACCCAAAGCAUUCUAAAGUGAAGAAGAUGCAAUCUGGAGGCAGAACUGAUGUCUCAGUACCAAUUCUACCACUGCCCUCCUGGACCUUCAUUACUUCGUACGGAUUGGACAUGAAGCCAUUCAUCAUGAGACCAUAUGUUCAUCUCCUCUGUACCUAAGUCUGGCUAGCUAACCUAGAUGGUGCCUCUGAGGCGCUAAGAUUGUGUGGCAAGUGGAGACUAUUGUGGCAUAAAAACUUGCAUAGAUUUUCAACCCCUUCUUCUAGUUCUUUCUUGUCCUAUGAUUCUGGUAAUGAAGCUGG